AGUCGAGGGGCAGCAUGAACUUAGCUUGCUAAGUUUGAUGGCGACCGGCGCACGGGUGAGUAACACGUAUCCAACCUGCCGAUGACUCGGGGAUAGCCUUUCGAAAGAAAGAUUAAUACCCGAUGGCAUAGUUCUUCCGCAUGGUAGAACUAUUAAAGAAUUUCGGUCAUCGAUGGGGAUGCGUUCCAUUAGGUUGUUGGCGGGGUAACGGCCCACCAAGCCUUCGAUGGAUAGGGGUUCUGAGAGGAAGGUCCCCCACAUUGGAACUGAGACACGGUCCAAACUCCUACGGGAGGCAGCAGUGAGGAAUAUUGGUCAAUGGACGAGAGUCUGAACCAGCCAAGUAGCGUGAAGGAUGAAGGUCCUACGGAUUGUAAACUUCUUUUAUAAGGGAAUAAAACCUCCCACGUGUGGGAGCUUGUAUGUAC
rnacentral:rRNA from 1 species